CAUAACAACAUAACAAAGUAAGCCUUAAACCUUAUACACCAAAAAAAUUUACAUAUUUUUUUUUUAUAUAUUUUAUUUCCUUUUUCUAUUUUCCAAAACAUCCUUUUCUCUGUUUUAAGCUAACUAAGCUUCUAUAUGAUGAAGAAGAACAUGAAGAAGAAGCACUUUCAUUUUCAUUUGUUCCUCUUCAUCACUCUUCUUCUGUUCCUUACACCAAGAAUUCAUGCCAUUAGAAGAAACAAGUUCUCAACACCUUCAACUUCUUCUUCUUCUUCUUCUUCUUCUUCAAGACAACAAGGUUUUCAUCCAUGGAAGAACAACAAUGAUUCUCCUACAGAGUUUGAUUCUGAAAAGAGAAGGGUUCCAACAGGAUCUAACCCUUUACACAACAAGAAGAGAUAGCUAAGAAAUCAAGGCUUGAUCUUCAUCAUCAUCAGGUUUUGGUUGGAAGAACCCCAUUAUUAUAUUGUUCAGAUAUAUGGUUUAUUUAAUUUGACUAAUUUAUUUAUUAUGUUAUAUACAGGAAAUUAAAAUACAAAUUAAAUAUAUAUAAAUAUCUAUUAGUGUUAUAAUUAUAUUAUAUAUAUAUAUGCGCUAUAUUAUAUGGUAGCAGAGUUAUUGAAUGAAGUUGCAUUUGUAUUAUUAUUAUUUAUGUGAAAUUAGAAAAUAGUACUUAAUUAAUUUGUUUAGCUAGCUAGCUUAGCUGGAUUAUAUAUUAAUUAUUGGUAGAGAAAUUGUUGUACAGAAGAGAGGA
rnacentral:lncRNA from 1 species